rnacentral:rRNA from 1 species
UACGUAGGGUGCGAGCGUUGUCCGGAAUUAUUGGGCGUAAAGAGCUCGUAGGCGGCUUGUCGCGUCGGAUGUGAAAGCCCCGGGCUCAACCCGGGAGGGUCGUGGCAAACCGGCGGGCUUGAGGCCGGUAGAGGUGGGUGGAACUCCUGGUGGAGUGGUGAAAUGCGUAGAGAUCAGGAAGAACACCCGUGGCGAAGGCGGCCCACUGGGCCGGUACUGACGCUGAGGCGCGAAGGCGUGGGGAGCGAACGGG